GUCCCCUGCCUGAAUCCGAACAUGCUGGCUCCUGAUCCUGGAUUUCCAGCCUCCGGAACUGUGAGAAAUCAAUGUCAGUUGUUGAGAAGCACCCAGUUUAUGGUGUUUUGAGACAGCUGACUGGACUAAGGCAGAACGAAAGAGGGGAAGACUCACUUGUUUCUUCACAGGAUUAAACAGGUGAGCAGGUGGAUGGAAAGAAGGGGGAGGAGGGAAAAGGGGGAAGGGGAGACGGACAGGUCAAAGGAGAGGAGAAAAAUGGACUUUCUUUUUACAUAAUUUUCUGUAUUUCUGCUUUCUGUAAUAAGGUUGAGCUGCUUUUGCAAUAAUAGUAUUACAAUUUAUGUAAAGCACUACAUAAAAAUAUUAAACAAAUCUUCCACUGUGCUCGUCACAAAAGCAUUAGUUAAAGAUCUAACUAGGGAGGCCAGGUGCAGCGGCUCACGCCUGUAAUCCCAGCACUUUGGGAGGCCAAGGUGUGCGGAUCACCAGAGGUCAGGAGUUUGAGACCAGCUGGCCAACAUGGUGAAACCCCACCUCUACUAAAAAUACAAAAACUACCCAGGCAUGGUGGCGCGUACCUGUAAUCCCAGCUGCUCAGGAGGCUGAGGCAGGAGAAUCGCUUGAAUAUGAGAGGCAGAGGUUGCAGUGAGCUGAGAUGGUGCCAUUGUACUCCAGCCUGGGUGACAGUGAGACUCCGUCUCAAAAAAAAAGAUCUAAAUAGGGGAUUCCCUCCUCCCCCCACCACAGUCCACCAACACACGACGAUGCAGGCCACACACUCACUGGGAGGGCAAGGCUUGGGGCAGGGGCGGCAGGGACAGUGGGCAGAGAGGUCUUUACCUGGGCCAGCUGUGUGAGCAAGACUUGGGCAAGCCCUUUAGCCCCACCCCCCACACUCAACCCCCUCUGUAAAAUAGGCUGAGAAUACCUACAAGUCUGUGUGAAAAUUAAAUGAGAGACUGGGUACGUGUGUAUGCAACAGCGUCUGGCACACCGUGUUUGAUAAAUAGCGGCUAACAUGAUUAACUGUGUGUUCACAUUAUGUGAAUAUUCUUAAUAUUGCUCCUGGUCCUAAUACUAAGAAUGAGAAAUUAGGAG
rnacentral:lncRNA from 1 species